GAAUUGUUCGCAAUGGGCGCAAGCCUGACGACGCAACGCCGCGUGGAGGAUGAAGGUCUUCGGAUUGUAAACUCCUGUUGCCCGGGACGAAACGCUCCGACCUAACACGUCGGAGUCUGACGGUACCGGGUGAGGAAGCCCCGGCUAACUCUGUGCCAGCAGCCGCGGUAAUACGGAGGGAGCUAGCGUUGUUCGGAAUUACUGGGCGUAAAGCGCGCGUAGGCGGCUUUUCAAGUCAGGGGUGAAAUCCCGGGGCUCAACCCCGGAACUGCCCUUGAAACUGGAUGGCUAGAAUACUGGAGAGGUGAGUGGAAUUCCGAGUGUAGAGGUGAAAUUCGUAGAUAUUCGGAAGAACACCAGUGGCGAAGGCGACUCACUGGACAGUUAUUGACGCUGAGGUGCGAAAGCGUGGGGAGCAAACAGG
rnacentral:rRNA from 1 species